rnacentral:rRNA from 1 species
AGUGAACGCUGGCGGUAGGCCUAACACAUGCAAGUCGAACGGCAGCACAGGAGAGCUUGCUCUCUGGGUGGCGAGUGGCGGACGGGUGAGGAAUACAUCGGAAUCUACUUUUUCGUGGGGGAUAACGUAGGGAAACUUACGCUAAUACCGCAUACGACCUACGGGUGAAAGCAGGGGAUCUUCGGACCUUGCGCGAUUGAAUGAGCCGAUGUCGGAUUAGCUAGUUGGCGGGGUAAAGGCCCACCAAGGCGACGAUCCGUAGCUGGUCUGAGAGGAUGAUCAGCCACACUGGAACUGAGACACGGUCCAGACUCCUACGGGAGGCAGCAGUGGGGAAUAUUGGACAAUGGGCGCAAGCCUGAUCCAGCCAUACCGCGUGGGUGAAGAAGGCCUUCGGGUUGUAAAGCCCUUUUGUUGGGAAAGAAAUCCAGCUGGCUAAUACCCGGUUGGGAUGACGGUACCCAAAGAAUAAGCACCGGCUAACUUCGUGCCAGCAGCCGCCGUAAUAC